rnacentral:lncRNA from 1 species
UUUGUUAAUCCCAAACUCCUAAUUUAUCCCUCCUCUGCCUUUAACCUUUGGUAACCAUAAGUUUGCUUUCUGUGUCUGUGGGUCUGUUUUGUACAUAAAUUCAUUUGUAUCAUUAACUUUAGAUUGCGCAUAUAGGUGGUAUCAUGUGAUAUUUGUCUGGCUUUCUUCACUUAGUAUGAUAUUCUUUAGGUCCAUCCAUGUUGCUGCAAAUGACAUUAUUUCAUUCAUUUUUUUCAUUUUUAAGGUUUUGUUGAAGUAUAGUAGAUUUACAAGGUUGCGAUGAUUUCUGCUGUAUAUCGGAAUGAUUCAAUUAUACAUGUACACACAUUCAUUCUUUUUCAUAUUAUUUUCCCAUAUAGAUUAUCACAGAAUAUUGGGUCGAAUUCUCUGUGCUAUAUUGCAGGUCCCAAUUGGCCAAUUAUUCCAUAUACUCCAGUGCUCAUAUCCCAAUCUCAAACCCCCAGUCCAUCCCUCCCCCUCCAACCCAUCUGCUUUGGUAACCUUAAGUUUUUCAAAGUUUGUAAGUCUGUUUCUGUGCUGCAAAUAAAUUCAAUUUGUAUCCUUUUUUUUGAUUCCACAUAUAAGUAAUAUCAUAUGAUGUUUGUCUUUCACUGUCUGCCUUACUUCACUUAGUAUAAUAAUCUCUAGGUCUAUUCAUGUUGCCGAAGAUGGCAUUAUUUCAUUCUUUUUUAUGGCUGAGUAAUAGUCCAUUGUAUAUAUGUACCAUAUCUUCUUUGUCCAUUCCUCUACUGAUGGACAUUUAGGUUGCUUCUACGUCUUGGCUAUUGUAAAUAGUGCUGCAGUGAACAUUGGAGUGCAUGUAUCUUUUGGAAUUAUGUUUUUUUUUUUCUGGAUAGAUGUGCAGGAGUGGGAUUGCUAGAUCACAUGGUAGUUCUUUUUUUUUCUUUUUAGGGCCACAGGUGAGUCAUAUGGAAGUUCCCAGGCUAGAAGUUGAAUUGGAGCUGCAGCUGCCAGCCUACACCAUAGCCACAGUAACUAAGGAUCCAAGUUGCAUCUUUGACACCACAGUUCAUGGCAAUGCUGGAUCCUUAACCCACUGAGUGAGGCUGUGGAUCGAAGCCCCAUCCUCAUUGGUACUGAUCACAACGGGAACUCCAAUAUGGUAGUUCUGUAUUUAGUUUUUUUAGGAACCUCUAUACUAUUUCCCACAGCCAUUUCACCAAUUUAUAUUCCCACUAGCAGUGUUAAGAAGUUUCCCUUUUCUUCACACCCUUGCCAGCAUUUAUUGUUUAUAGACUUUUUUUUUUUUGUGUGUGUGUUUUUAGGGCCACAUGCAUGGCAUAUGGAAGUUCCCAGGCUAAGGGUCUAAUCCGAGCUGUAGCCCCCGGCCUAGGUCACAACCACAGGAACGCCAGAUCCGAGCCACUUCUGGACCUAUACCACAGCUCAUGGCAACCCACUGAGUGAGACCAGGGAUCGAACCUGCAACCUUAUGGUUCCUAGUCAGAUUCGUUUCUGCUGUGCCAUGACAGGAGCUACUGUUUGUAGACUUUUUGAUGGCCAUUCUGGCUGGUAUAAGGUGUGCCUCAUAGUAGUUUUGAUUUGCAUUUCUCUAAUAAUUAGCAAUGUUGACCUUCUUUUCAUAUUUUUUUGGCUAUCUGUAUGUCUUCUUUGGAGAAAUGUCUAUAUCUUUUGACCAUUUUUUUAAUGCAUUGCUUAUUUUUUUUGAUAUUGAGCUGCAGGAGGCAUUUGUAUAUUUUGGAAAUUAAUCCCUUGUCAGCUGCUUCAUUUACAAAUAUUUUUUAUUCUGUAGUUGUCUUUUUUUGUUUGUUUAUUGUUUCCUUUGCUAUGCAAAAACUUUUACAUUUAGUUAAGUCCCAUUUGUUUAUUUUUGUUUUUAUUUUUAUUACUCUAGGAGGUGGAUCCAAAAAGAUAAUGCAGCAAUUUAUGUCAAAGAAUGUUCUGCCUGUGUUUUCCUCUAAGAGUUUUAUAGUAUCUGGGCUUAUAUUUAGGUCUUUAAUCUACUGUGAGUUUAUUUUUGUGUGUAGAAUAAGUGAAUGUUCUAAUUUCAUUCUUUUACAUAUAGCUGUCCGGUUUUCCCAGCACCACUUAUGGAAGAGACUGCUUUUUUUUUUUUUCUAUUGCAUAUUCUUGGCUCCUUUCUAAUAGAUUAACUGGCCAUAGGUGUGUGGGUAUAUUUCUGGGCUUCCUAUCCUAUUCCCGUGGUCUAUAUUUCUGUUUUUGUGCCAGUAUCAUACUGUUUGGAUGACUGUAACUUUUUAAUAUAGUCUGAAGUCAGAGAGCCUAUUCCUCCAGCUCCAUUUUUCUUUCUCAGGACUGCUUUGGCUAUUAAGGAUCUUUUGAAUUUCCAUACAAAUUUAAAAAUAUUGGAGUUCCCGUCAUGGCGCAGUGGUUAACGAAUCCAACUAGGAACCAUGAGGUUGCGGGUUCGGUCCCUGCCCUUGCUCAGUGGGUUAACGAUCCGGCAUUGCCGUGAGCUGUGGUGUAGGUUGCAGACGCGGCUCGGAUCCCUUGUUGCUGUGCCUCCGGCCUACACCAGAGCUACAGUAACGUGAGAUCCAAGCCGUGUCUGCAACCUACACCACAGCUCACGGCAACGCCGGAUCGUUAACCCACUGAGCAAGGGCAGGGAUCGAACCUGCAACCUCAUGGUUCCUAGUCGGAUUCGUUAACCACUGCGCCACGACGGGAACUCCAGAUUUAAGUCUUUUUUAUUGAUGGUUAUUCAAUAGUAAGUUGUGAUUUUGGGGGUGCUCAUGAAUGGAGGUGAGCUCAAGGUCCUUCUAUUCUGCCAUCUUCAUUACCAGCCAAGCCCUUUCUAGAAUUAUCUCAUUCUAGAUUUAUAAAACUUCUUAAUAGUUGUAUUUUUAUUUUUAAAUAUUUCUAAAUAUCUCUUUUUUAUACGUACCUGUUCUUUUACAUGUUUAGGAAUGUGUUCAUAUUAGGUUUAUUAAAUGUUUUUCUGAGCAUUAGAUAUCAUUUUUUUUUUUUUUUUGAGUUUUGUUUCCUUUUUGUGUUUUGGCCGCCAAUGGUUCCUAUAAUCUGCAGUCCUGGACAGAAUUCAUAGUAUUGUUCUUCAGCCUGCUGUCAUGAUUUGGAGAUGUUUUAUUAAACUCUCUCUUAGGCAGUGGGUCUUACUCUGAUUCCUUGCCUUGCCUAGUGGAUCAUUUUUAUUGCCCAUUACCUCACAGGAACUUAACUCCUAAUUGCUCCUGUUUGCUUCUUAAUCCAGACCCUAGCUCCCAUUUUGUAUUUUGUUCCCAUAUCUGGCCCAUGAAGAUAUUUAUGUCUUAUUUUUGAACAAUUUUUACUUGUUUUGUUGUUUAUUUUCUUUUCAUUUUUUUCCCUAUCAUUACUGUUUAGUUGAAGCAUAAGGAGUGUCUUAAAGUGUGAAUUUACUGCUCUAUCUUCCCUGAGCUCUUGUUUUCUAUCAUUUUGUUGAAGGUUUAAUGAAAAAUUUGCUGUCUGAAUCCUGCUAAUUACUCCACUUGGAUUUUUGUAGAUGGAGUCUCACAUGGAGUCAAGGAGUACAACAUGUUCUAAAGCAGAGGACUGCAGAGUAACAGUGACUGGAGAAUUUUAUGGGGCCUCUUCUUCUUCCAGUCCUAGCCCUUGGGAUAAGAUAACUCAGACUUCCUACUGCCUAUUCCCAGUCUAUACAACUUACAGGUCCUGAGGCUUAAACAGCAGUCACUUUUCUCUGCGGUGCUGCCGUUGGUGUGUGGUCCCUCCCCCUGUGAUCUUACUUUCAAGAGAUAAGUGAAUUAAGAUGUCAAGACAUGGGAUGUGCUUCACAGAAACUAUACCUGUGCUAGAGGGUAUCAACUCUCCACAAUUCUUGAACUGUAUAAGUCACUCUACCUUCCUAUGGGGAGAUCAUGGUCAGGGUUUACACUGGGCCUGGAGAGAUGUGCCCCCAGCCUGCCUAUGCCCUAUAAAGACAAGAGAAGCUGAGACUACGGUAUUUCCUUAAUGCUUUGAUUUAACAGUUCAAGUUCUGAAAAUCAAUCCUAAGAAAAUAACCAGGGAUGUGAUCAAGAUUUAAGCAUAAAUGUAUUUGCCUUAAUUUUACCUGUAAUAGUGAAAAAUUGAGAGGAUAAACCCUAUUUCCCACCCUAUCCCCCCAAAAAAAAACCCCACCACAAAUGUUUCUGAUCUAAAUAAUUAAUGUAGAGAUAAGGAAAAUACUAUGAGUUUUGCAUAUAUUUUUAAACUUUGCUUGCAGGUGUUUAAAAAAAUCUAAAAGAAAUAAGAUCACAUACAGUCUUUUAUAGCAGGGUGACAAAUGUCUCAUUAGGCAAAGUGCAGGUCGGCAUAAAAAUAAAUGUAAUUUAUACUUGAAUUUUUGUCUGAUCAAAUGACAUAUGUUUUAUUGUCUUAUACUUAUGAGUGAUAUUUAAUUAAAAGCUAGUUGAAUAUUCCAGAUGGCAAUUAUCUUUCAAUAGAGAUGCCAUUUCUGACACAAGGAGGCAGAUGAGCAGAAAGGAGAAUUUGUGUACUUAUUCCUUAGGAGAUGGAAAAAAAGAAACCACACCAAGCAUUGACACACAGAGAGAUUUGUGACGAUCUGCCCUAAAUGCCACUCUUUCCCUUGUUGAGCUUUGCUUACAUGUUCGUCAUUAGGUAAACCAUGUCCAAACUAAAACUGAGGUAGCCAGUAUUCAUUAGUUCACAAAUGCAAUUGUAUAGCCAUUCUUUGAAUCUGAGCCAGGGAGAGGAGUGUAAGCCUCAUUUACUUUCAUUAAUUCAGACACAGAUUAUGUGUAAUAUAGUCUAAGUAAGUGUCCUCUCACACAUGUGGUAGAAGGCAGAAAAACAAACAAAAAAAACCUCUUAAUCAGAGGACAUUUAGGCAGAAUCUACCAGUUGAUUUUUUUUUUUGUCUUUUUGCCUUUCCUAGGGCCACACCCGCGGCAUAUGGAGGUUCCCAGGCUAGGGGUCGAAUCGGAGCUGUAGCCGCCGGACUACACCAGAGCCAGAGCAACUCGGGAUCCGAGCUGCCAUCUGCGACCUACACCAUAGCUCACAGCAAUGCUGGAUCCUUAACCCACUGAGCGAGGCCAGGGAUCGAACCCGCAACCUCAUGGUUCCUAGUCAGAUUCGUUAACCACUGAGCCACGAUGGGAACUCCUGACCAGUUUAUUUUAUUUUAUUAUUUUUAUUUUUUUUUAUUUUUUGUCUUUUUGCUAUUUCUUUGGGCCGCUCCCGUGGCAUAUGGAGGUUCCCAGGCUAGGGGUCAUAUCGGAGCUGUAGUCCCCAGCCUACACCAGAGCCACAGCAACGCAGGAUCCCAGCCAUGUCUGCAACCUACACCACAGCUCACGGCAACGCUGGAUCGUUAACCCACUGAGCAAGGGCAGGGACCGAACCCACAACCUCAUGAUUCCUAGUUGGAUUCGUUAAGCACUGCGCCACGACGGGAACUCCCCAACCAGUUGAUUUUAAAUGGAAUCUUUUAUUUUUGGAAAUGAGAGAUCUCCAAAAAUAAAAGAUUCCAUUUAAAAUAUCUCUCUCUCUAUAUAUUCAAAAUGUAUGAAUUUAAAUUAAAAUGUAAACAUAUUUAAUAAAUAUAAAUAUAAUGUAUAUUUCACUUAAACAUAAGUAAAUUAUCUAAUAUAAAUCAUCCCUCAGUACAUCAGGGGAAAUAUAUUUCACUCAUUUUUUUUUUUGUUUCUUUGGCGGCACCUGUGGUGUGUGGAAAUUCCAGGACCAGGGAUUGAACCUAUAUCACAGCUGUGACCCUCUCUACAGCAGUGACAAUGCCAGAUCCUUUACCUGCUACACUGCCAAGUAAACUCUUUCACUCAUUUUUAAGUGUAUAAAUGACUUGGCAGUUUAUGCGUCAGCAAAAUCAAUAUUUAAGACAUUUACAUCAUUCCAAACAGUUCCCUUUUCCCUCUUUGUAGUCAGCCUCUUCCCUAGGCCUCCAGUCUGAGCAACCAUUAAUCUGUUUUGUCACUAUACUUUUGUUAUUUCUAGCAUUUUAUGUAAAUGAAACAGUACAGCAUGUCAUAUUUUGUGUUUAACUUCUUUCUCUUAGUGUUUCUUUUAAUGUGUCUGAGAUUCAUCCAUGGUGUUGCAUAUUCUGUGUAAGUUUGCAAACUUACACAAAAUAUAUAUUAUUACACAAUGAUGAUCAUUAUUAUGAGAUUACUUAGUUUUUCCGUGUUUCUGUGCCCACCAGAAAUUCAAUCUUUGUUAUCUCAGGAGAGUUAAUUUAUCUUUCAGGCCUCUAUUUUUGGUUAUUUUUGUGGCAAAGAAUUGGGAGAAUGGAAAGUUGGAGACAGAAGGACAGAAGCAGGGGGAAAGGAGGUUCAUAUGUCAGAGAAGCUAAGAAGAUCUACAUCACUGGAUCUUAAAGAACAGCCCUUGCACCAUCAGGAUUUUCUGGGAAUACGUUAGAAAUGCCAGUUCUGGAGUUCCCAUUGUGGUGCAGCAGAAACAAAUCUGAUGAGGAACCAUAAGGUUGCAGGUUUGAUCCCUGACCUCGCUCAGUGGGUUAAGGAUUAAUCCGGCAUUGCCGUGAGCUGUGGUACAGAUGUGGCAUGGAUACAGCCCUUAAAAAAAAAAAAAAAAAAAAAAAA